rnacentral:rRNA from 1 species
UACGGAGGGGGCUAGCGUUGUUCGGAAUUACUGGGCGUAAAGCGCACGUAGGCGGCUUUGUAAGUUAGAGGUGAAAGCCCGGGGCUCAACUCCGGAAUUGCCUUUAAGACUGCAUCGCUAGAAUUGUGGAGAGGUAAGUGGAAUUCCGAGUGUAGAGGUGAAAUUCGUAGAUAUUCGGAAGAACACCAGUGGCGAAGGCGACUUACUGGACCACAUAUUGACGCUGAGGUGGCGAAAGCGUGGGGAGCAAACAGG